GACGAACGCUGGCGGCGUGCUUAACACAUGCAAGUCGAACGGAAAGGCCCUGCUUUUGUUGGGUGCUCGAGUGGCGAACGGGUGAGUAACACGUGAGUAACCUGCCCUUGACUUUGUGAUAACUUCAGGAAACUGGGUCUAUUACCGGAUAGGAUCUCCUGCUGCAUGUUGGGGGUUGGAAAGUUUCGGCGGUUGGGGAUGGACUCGCGGCUUAUCAGCUUGUUGGGGGGGUAGUGGCUUACCAAGGCUUUGACGGGUAGCCGGCCUGAGAGGGUGACCGGCCACAUUGGGACUGAGAUACGGCCCAGAAUCCUACGGGAGGCAGCAGUGGGGAAUAUUGCACAAUGGGCGGAAGCCUGAUGCAGAAGCGCUGCGUGCGGGAUGACGGCCUUCGGGUUGUAAACCGCUUUCGACUGUGACGAAGCGUGAGUGACGGUAAUGGGUAAAGAAGCACCGGCUAACUACGUG
rnacentral:rRNA from 1 species